CAGGGAGACAACAAAAUGUUAAAUAUUAAUUUUGUCACCUUAGGUCGAUCGGUAUCUCACAUUCUUAAUUUAUUAAGGGUUUCAUUUCUUAAGUUUUUUCUAGGUCACACCCAUUACUUUUCCUGGGCCAUUAGCUCAGGUGGUUAGAGCGCACCCCUGAUAAGGGUGAGGUCCCUGGUUCAAGUCCAGGAUGGCCCAUAUCUCUAUGUUGGGGGUAUAGCUCAGCUGGUAGAGCGCCUGCUUUGCAAGCAGGAUGUCAGCGGUUCGAGUCCGCUUACCUCCACUGAUUACCACCUCUUCCAUAAUUUAUAGAAGGAAAAUGUUUUGAGUUGUGAUCAAAUUCUGAACGAGUCUAGCUUCCUAAUCAAAUGUAUUAGGAUGCUGGACUCAUUGAAUUAAUUUCAUUGUUUUCAGAGAACCUUGACAACUGCGUAGAUUAUUUUUAAAGACAAUAAGCAUCUUUAAUGAUGCAGAUUUAUUAUUUUUGCAAAUGCAUUAAUAACAAUUCUAUUAAGCUGAUGCUUCAAUUAUGAAGUUAUU
rnacentral:tRNA from 1 species